rnacentral:rRNA from 1 species
CUUCAGAGGGGGACAACAGUUGGAAACGACUGCUAAUACCGCAUAAUGUAUUCGGAAGGCAUCUUCUGGAUACCAAAGGAGAAAUCCGCUGAUGGAUGGGCUCACGUCUGAUUAGCUAGUUGGUGAGGUAACGGCUCACCAAGGCUGCGAUCAGUAGCCGGACUGAGAGGUUGAACGGCCACAUUGGGACUGAGAUACGGCCCAGACUCCUACGGGAGGCAGCAGUGGGGAAUAUUGGGCAAUGGGCGAAAGCCUGACCCAGCAACGCCGCGUGAAGGAAGAAGGCCUUCGGGUUGUAAACUUCUUUUAAGAGGGACGAAGAAGUGACGGUACCUCUUGAAUAAGCCACGGCUAACUACGUGCCAGCAGCCGCGGUAAUACGUAGGUGGCGAGCGUUAUCCGGAUUUACUGGGUGUAAAGGGCGCGUAGGCGGGAAUGCAAGUCAGAUGUGAAAUCCAAGGGCUCAACCCUUGAACUGCAUUUGAAACUGUAUUUCUUGAGUGUCGGAGAGGUUGACGGAAUUCCUAGUGUAGCGGUGAAAUGCGUAGAUAUUAGGAGGAACACCAGUGGCGAAGGCGGUCAACUGGACGAUAACUGACGCUGAGGCGCGAAAGCGUGGGGAGC